CAGAUGUAACUCAAUUGGCAGAGCGUCAGAUUUCCAAUCUGAAAGUUGCGUGUUCGAAUCACGUCAUCUG
rnacentral:tRNA from 1 species